AAAGAUUGGCAGAGCUCAGUGGAUUUCUCCUCUGAUAUCUGGCUGUUUGCAUCUUUAUUAUCCACUGGAAUCCUCUGCAUCUUGGGCUGCUUUAAAGAUGUCACUGGUAUCUAAAGAAGAGGCCAAGGAAGCUGCUGAACGCCCUGCGGUGCACAGGGCAGCCCCACCACAAGGUUGCUCAACUUAAUGCCAGCUGCUUCAAGGUUGAGAAAUUCAGCUUCGUUCUUCACCCAGAACUCAUCUGAGCUGUGACUCUCCUUACGUCAUAGAUGAUAAUUCCAGAAGCACGUAUAUGUUGAUAUUUCACAUUUAAAAAUGCAAACAUGAACCAGUAAGAGACAUUUCCCAUCUCUGUGUAGCAUCUCUGUACAUCAUCAGUGAGUCAUGGGUUAUAAGAGGCAUGCCUUUGGCUGUUAGGAUCCCUUCUGCUCAAUUCAUUUCCUGUCCACCAUGAGAUAAGUAGCUCCUGUCACAUGCUCUGCCUGCUGUGACACUCUGCUGUACUGUUUACCCAGAAUCAAUGAAGCAGGACUAC
rnacentral:lncRNA from 1 species